GACACACAGGAGGAAAAAAAAAAAAAAUUAGAGGAGCUAUUAGUGCUUAUCUAACGUAUCUUCUCCAUCACCUGGAUAAAAGAAAAAUGGUCUAUCCCACUGCCUGAGACAGACAUGCAUACUCAUCCCCGCCUGAA